GGAGGUGAGGGAGAUCUGGCUGCAACAUCUGUCACACCACUGACCGCCAGGGCUAACUUGGCUGCUCUGGCUGGCUAGGUGAGUGUCCCCUUCCUUCCUCAAUGCUCUGAGUGCGUCCCUUCGCAAGCUGUGUGCUCAGUCGAAGAGGACAACCAUCCCCAAUAGAGGAAGAGCAGUCCUCGGUCAAGGGUAUAUGAGUAGCUGCGUUCCCCUGCUAGAACGUCCAAACAAACUCUCAAAGAGGUGAAGGAGAGGGACAAUUAAAAUGGGUUCUACCUUU
rnacentral:snRNA from 1 species